rnacentral:misc_RNA from 1 species
UGUUUAAUGUGACUUAGAGUUGUUCGUCUGAAUGAACCUAGCUUCCUAUCAUUCCUUUCUUUUAGGCCGAUAAGACGCUGGGCUCAACUAAUAUUCUUCAGAUUAUUAGUUUGAUUCAGCAGAACCUUGACAACUGCAUAGGAAAAGUCUGGAAAGAAUAAAGCAUCUCAUAGAUGC